GACGAACGCUUGCGGCGUGCUUAACACAUGCAAGUCGAACGGAAAGGCCCUGCUUUUGUGGGGUGCUCGAGUGGCGAACGGGUGAGUAACACGUGAGUAACCUGCCCUUGACUUUGGGAUAACUUCAGGAAACUGGGGCUAAUACCGGAUAGGAGCUCCUGCUGCAUGGUGGGGGUUGGAAAGUUUCGGCGGUUGGGGAUGGACUCGCGGCUUAUCAGCUUGUUGGUGGGGUAGUGGCUUACCAAGGCUUUGACGGGUAGCCGGCCUGAGAGGGUGACCGGCCACAUUGGGACUGAGAUACGGCCCAGACUCCUACGGGAGGCAGCAGUGGGGAAUAUUGCACAAUGGGCGGAAGCCUGAUGCAGCAACGCCGCGUGCGGGAUGACGGCCUUCGGGUUGUAAACCGCUUUCGCCUGUGACGAAGCGUGAGUGACGGUAAUGGGUAAAGAAGCACCGGCUAACUACGUGCCAGCAGCCGCGGUGAUACGUAGGGUGCGAGCGUUGUCCGGAUUUAUUGGGCGUAAAGGGCUCGUAGGUGGUUGAUCGCGUCGGAAGUGUAAUCUUGGGGCUUAACCCUGAGCGUGCUUUCGAUACGGGUUGACUUGAGGAAGGUAGGGGAGAAUGGAAUUCCUGGUGGAGCGGUGGAAUGCGCAGAUAUCAGGAGGAACACCAGUGGCGAAGGCGGUUCUCUGGGCCUUUCCUGACGCUGAGGAGCGAAAGCGUGGGGAGCGAACAGGCUUAGAUACCCUGGUAGUCCACGCUGUAAACGGUGGGUACUAGGUGUGGGGUCCAUUCCACGGGUUCCGUGCCGUAGCUAACGCUUUAAGUACCCCGCCUGGGGAGUACGGCCGCAAGGCUAAAACUCAAAGGAAUUGACGGGGCCCCGCACAAGCGGCGGAGCAUGCGGAUUAAUUCGAUGCAACGCGUAGAACCUUACCUGGGUUUGACAUGGAUCGGGAGUGCUCAGAGAUGGGUGUGCCUCUUUUGGGGUCGGUUCACAGGUGGUGCAUGGCUGUCGUCAGCUCGUGUCGUGAGAUGUUGGGUUAAGUCCCGCAACGAGCGCAACCCUUGUUCACUGUUGCCAGCACGUUAUGGUGGGGACUCAGUGGAGACCGCCGGGGUCAACUCGGAGGAAGGUGGGGAUGACGUCAAGUCAUCAUGCCCCUUAUGUCCAGGGCUUCACGCAUGCUACAAUGGCUGGUACAGAGAGUGGCGAGCCUGUGAGGGUGAGCGGAUCUCGGAAAGCCGGUCUCAGUUCGGAUUGGGGUCUGCAACUCGACCUCAUGAAGUCGGAGUCGCUAGUAAUCGCAGAUCAGCAACGCUGCGGUGAAUACGUUCCCGGG
rnacentral:rRNA from 1 species